rnacentral:rRNA from 1 species
AGUCAAUAGAUACCCAGGUAGUCCACGCCCUAAACGAUGUCAACUAGUUGUCGGGUCUUAAUUGACUUGGUAAACGCAGCUAAACGCGUGAAGUUGACCGCCUGGGGAGUACGGCCGCAAGGUUAAAACUCAAAGGAAUUGACGGGGACCCGCACAAGCGGUGGAUGAUGUGGGUUAAUUCGAUGCAACGCGAAAAACCUUACCUACGUUUGACAUGCCAGGAAGGCCGGAGAGAUCUGGUCGUGCCCGAAAGGGAACCUGGACACAGGUGCUGCAUGGCUGUCGUCAGCUCGUGUCGUGAGAUGUUGGGUUAAGUCCCGCAACGAGCGCAACCCUUAUCAUUAGUUGCUACGCAAGGGCACUCUAAUGAGGCUGCCGGUGACAAACCGGAGGAAGGUGGGGAUGACGUCAAGUCCUCAUGGCCCUUAUACGUAGGGCUUCACACGUCAUACAAUGGUCGGUACAGAGGGCUGCAAACCCGCGAGGGGGAGCCAAUCCCAGAAAACCGAUCGUAGUCCGGAUUGCACUCUGCAACUCGAGUGC